AACGUAGGUUCCGAGCGUUAUCCGGAUUUACUGGGCGUAAAGCGCGUUCAGGCGGUUUGGCAAGUUGGGCAUGAAAUCUCUCGGCUCAACCGGGAGAGGUUGUCCGAUACUUCCAGACUUGAGGGCAGUAGAGGGUGGUGGAAUUCCGGGUGUAGUGGUGAAAUGCGUAGAUAUCCGGAGGAACACCAGUGGCGAAAGCGGCCACCUGGACUGCACCUGACGCUGACACGCGAAAGCUAGGGGAGCGAACGGG
rnacentral:rRNA from 1 species